rnacentral:rRNA from 1 species
ACGCUGGCGGCACGCCUAACACAUGCAAGUCGAACGAAGUAGCAAUACUUAGUGGCAGACGGGUGAGUAACAUGUAGGUAUCUACCCUUUGGCCUGGAAUAACACGAGGAAACUUGUGCUAAUACCGGAUAAGUCUUUACGGAGAAAGCUUUAUGCACCAUUGGAUGAGCCUGCACUUGAUUAGUUUGUUGGUGGGGUAAUGGCCUACCAAGACUGUGAUCAAUAGCUGAUUUGAGAGGAUGAUCAGCCACAUUGGGACUGAGACACGGCCCAAACUCCUACGGGAGGCAGCAGUGGGGAAUCUUGCACAAUGGAGGAAACUCUGAUGCAGCGAUGCCGCGUGAGUGAAGAAGGCCCUUGGGUUGUAAAGCUCUUUCGUCGGGGAAGAAAAUGACUGUACCCGAAUAAGAAGGUCCGGCUAACUUCGUGCCAGCAGCCGCGGUAAUACGAAGGGACCUAGCGUAGUUCGGAAUUACUGGGCUUAAAGAGUUCGUAGGUGGUUGAAAAAGUUAGUGGUGAAAUCCCAGAGCUUAACUCUGGAACUGCCAUUAAAACUUUUCAGCUAGAGUAUGAUAGAGGAAAGCAGAAUUUCUAGUGUAGAGGUGAAAUUCGUAGAUAUUAGAAAGAAUACCAAUUGCGAAGGCAGCUUUCUGGAUCAUUACUGACACUGAGGAACGAAAGCAUGGGUAGCGAAGAGGAUUAGAUACCCUCGUAGUCCAUGCCGUAAACGAUGUGUGUUAGACGUUGGAAAUUUAUUUUCAGUGUCGCAGCGAAAGCGAUAAACACACCGCCUGGGGAGUACGACC